AGAAGGAGCUGGAGGCCCCGGGAGUGCAGACGGCAUUUCAGUGCUCACAGGAGAGCGUCCGUAGAUGGCGAGGACAGAGAAGGGGUUACCAGGGCUUCCAAAACCGCGAGAAAUAAAUGUCUGUGUCUAAACCCCAACCCUACCACCUCAACUGCCGUGUGUGGUGUUUUGUGAUGGCAGCCCCAGCUGACUGAGACACCUGGUUAGACCGGAAUAAGCAGUACCUGAGUCCCUUAAGAGUGGCCAAAGAAGAAAGAAUCCACUGAGUUGACAUUCCAGUUCAGCUGCAAUCGGUAGCAGUCACCAUUGAACAUCCUUGAAGCAAUUCUUCCAAAAUUACCUUGCAUCAAAGACUGCACAAGAACUGCUCUAAGCGGAAGGACUGAUGUCGGCAACCAGGGUUCCACCAGGGGCUGCAGACAGCCCUUGACCUUCAGAAGUAACCAAAUUUACUCACGUAGGCCAGGAAUUUCUAUGACGUGUUCCAAAUUCAGCCUCUCACUGAACACUUCCAGAGCAAGGCAACAUAAACAUCUGCAAGAAGAACAUUGUGUGAGAAAUAUCAAGUGAGAGUGGAAGAGUCUGCGGAGGGCCUCCCUGGGGCUCACCUGUGCUUUUGCCUGAGCUUCACCGUGUCAAGCACUUUUUCCCUCUGGAGGAAGCAGCUUUCACCUUGGAAGAAUCUUGACCUUGCCAUUCAAAGUCACCAGACAGGGAAUCUGCCAGUGCCUUGAUCUUAGACUUCCCAGCUUCUGUAACUGUGAGCAAUAAAUGUAUGCUGCUUAUAAACUA
rnacentral:lncRNA from 1 species